UACGAAGGGGGCUAGCGUUGCUCGGAAUUACUGGGCGUAAAGGGCGCGUAGGUGGCCUUCUAAGCGUGCGGUGAAAGCCUGGGGCUCAACCCCGGGUCGGCCGUGCGAACUGGGGGGCUUGAGCACUGUAGAGGCAGGCGGAAUUCCGGGUGUAGCGGUGGAAUGCGUAGAGAUCCGGAAGAACACCGGUGGCGAAGGCGGCCUGCUGGGCAGUUUUGCUGACACUGAGGCGCGACAGCGUGGGGAGCAAACAGG
rnacentral:rRNA from 1 species